GAAGAUGGUGUUCAUGGUGCAACCUCAACUGGCUUUGCAGAAGUGGGGGAUUCACCUUUGCAGAAGUCCUCUGUGGGCCAGCAGCUCUAAAAGGCCUGAACUAAAAUGGGAAUAAGACAGGAAAGUGAAAAAUCUUGUUCUUCAGUGUGCUGUGUAAAAACAAGUUUACAGACAAUAGUCAGAUUGUAUGACCUGCCAGAGGUGAAAGAAGUUAUCUGCAAAGCAUGCAGAAUACUCACCUUUGGAGCUUUCCAAAUUUUGUCUGGAUAAGAACCUGAGCAACCUGCUCUAACUUCAGAAGUGGCUCUGCUUUGAUCAGGGACUUGGG
rnacentral:lncRNA from 1 species